UGCCCAUCAAUUAAUUUAUGAAAGUGCUCCAAGGGAACAUCAGACUAGAACAGAGAAUUGAAACUCGGCAGCACUUGUCCUACCAAACUUAAAAUAAGAUAGGUGAGAAAAGAUGAUUCCUACUACAGGCAUCAUUCCUCAUUUUGGCCAGCAAGUGCUUCUUUUUCAGGACAUAUUGAAAGCUGAAGUUACAAAGGAUCUAGGGGAUCUCUGCAAAUAGAGGUGACAAGUAGCAGUAUGAAGAACUGGAGGGUAAAGUAUUCAAACUCUGCCUAUGUCCAUUAUAUGAGCCUGGCUACUUGCUUGUUCCUCUUCAAUUCCUCAAGCAUUCAGUACAAUCUCAUAAAAAUAUUCCAGCAAGUCAUUUUAACACACAAAAGAUUUUGUGGCUGGAACCAUUAUCAUGAGCUGACAACAGAGAAUUUUCCUAUCCAUUUGCAUCAGAAUCUCCUGCACAUCAUGAAGUGUAUUUUGUGUAUUUGCAUCUUUCUUUGCUCCUAAAACUAACUAUAUUCUUGUUUUGUUGGAAGGUCUGCAGUUGAAUUUUUUAUAUCAAGAUAUUCACUAGCCUUAGAAAGAAGACAAAGUCCUUGGUUGCAUAGUGAAAAGUUUAUUUAAAGGGAGUAAGUUCCAAUAUAUUACUAAAAAUCAACCACAACACAUCAAAUAUAAACAAUACAAACCAAUUGUAGAAGGAAUGCAAGCACACUAUAAAUAUAGCCUUCAUACAUACCCUUCAGAAAGAGUCCAGUGCCACUUUUUUGGUUUUUUUUAAUAUCCUCUUCUCUAUUUAAAACUCACCUCCUGGUGAGCACAUGAAAAGCAAACAGUUGGCGCUGAGUACUCAAUUUUGAAAUCACAGGACAUCAAAAAUAUUCACAUCACAUAGAUAAGGACUGACAAACAACCAUCACAGUUCACAAGAACAUAAGUUUGAAAAAGUUAUGACCAGCUACAAGGUGCUCCCCAUUGAAAGCCUGUUGCUAAUGGCUUGGAGCUCUGAGUGGAAAGCACCUGCUUCCCUCUGAGGAGAGCUGUUCCCAGGAGAUCUCAGAGGUUGCAGGAAGGCCAUCUCUAGCUAUUUAUCAUUUCCAAAUUAUAAAUAAACAGCUCCUAACUGUCAAGGUCAUUACUUGGCAAGGUCUCCUUAGCUCUGAAUUUUGUGGCUGGCAUCCUGCUUCUUGCCCAAGGGACUUGACUCACCAGUCCCAGAUGGAUUUAAAAUAGAUAACUAUCACUGAUGGCUCAGAAAAUUCUUCCUUUCUCCUUUUCCAAUAAAGGCUACAUUUAAUGUACAAUGAUUCUGAGAAAGCAACAAGUAAAAUCCAGAAUGGAAACUAGAAAAGUCAAGGGGACACAGAUCCAUCAUCCACCUGGCCUGAUGUGCCUUCAGCUGCAACAGCACCAAAGUUUCAGAGUAAGUAGCCAGAGACUGUCUCCAGACAAAUGUGGACUAUUCCCGCAGAAAACUCUCCUCCUUGCGAUACACAUUUGAACUCUGCUAUUUUAUGUACCUUCUAAAAUUUUAUUUAAUUGGUAUUUACUGCAAAUCAGCUUCUUUAGAUAAAUGCUUUAGCACUUUGUUAAACUCCUUUCUUCUUUCACAGUCUAAUUAGCAAUGUAUUUAACACAAUCAGUUCUUCAUUCUGCCAGUUGUGGCAUUCAUAAUUCAUCUACAUGACAUUGUCACAUCCAAUAUUUUCCCAGAUACGAGAAAAGGAGAAAUAGUCUUUUCUUUUACACUUGUAGAUAUUACAAAAACCCAAACAAAAAGCUUUGUUGCCUUGGUCUCUCAUCCACACUCAAUAUGCAUAAGCACACACCACUCACUAGUCAGGAUUUCAACACUCUUUUUAGUGAAAAUUAUGAAAGGCCAUAAGAAACACUCUUCUACUAUCUAUCUAAUGUUCCUCUGGUCCUUGGGUUUAGUGUCAGCAUAUCAAAAGGAAUAGUCCUCUGGUGUUCCUAGACAUCUGACAGCAGCAUAUGAAGGCAAAGAAUGUAUGGCACCAGGAAACUCAAAUGCCAUUGUACCACUCAUCUUACAGCAACAAGGCCAUCUAUGAACACAUUAGAUCUCCAGGAACAGCCUAGAGGGGCUCUCCCUGCCUGACCUUAGCGAGUACCACCCCUACCCAAAUGGGCAGAGAAAUAAGAAGAAAUCUCUUGUAUUAAUGAACCUAUGGUUCUUAUUUCAGACAUGCUCUUUGUUCCUAAGGCACCUUGUGAUAAAUUCUCUGUAGAGUGGCUUUAAUAGGGGUAGUGAGACAAGAAGGAAGAGUAUAGGCAGUGGGGAUGAAAGUGAACUCAUUUAGGAAUUCAUUCUCUACCCUAAUUCCCCAAAAGAACAACAAAAUCUUUCAGCAGCUAGACUUAUAAUAAGGUUAACCUCAAAUUCACCUCACCAGGUCCAGCACUACAGUAACUGACCCACUGCUGACCAUAUAUGGAGGUUACAUGCACACACAGGUACAAGGAGACAAGCUGACAGCCACCAAGAAAGGAAUGUGGCUGCCUUCUAGACUCAGUGCAUAGUAACUUGACUUUCUUAGCACCUGAAGUCAGGUAACUAAGCUCUUCCUCUUAGCACAUUUUCAUCUUACCUGUUUGUGCAUAUUAAAUGGAUCCCAAGCAUUAAUUUGCUAGAAGCCUGUGUCUGACACCAGUACCCUUUCCUGAGAACAUGUAUUACAGGCCUCCAAAGAGUCUGAGUAAAUGUAAGCAGUACCAGUAGUGGUCCUUGAUUUGAGCAAUUUUAACUCUCUGUUCUCAAUAAUUUUAAACUACUGCUGCUACAUUACACCUAAAGCAAAAAAGAGAAAACAAUGGAGAGCUUAUUACCUUCUCUGACAUAAAAAAUGUCAAACAGAUUAGUACCAUUAUUAUAACUAAACACUUAUACAAAGUAAUUUUUAUACAAGUCCUUUGCUAAAGGAUAUAUCUCUGACUGAACAGGUAAAUUUUAUUUAGAUCUAAAUUAUAUUCAAAACAAAAUGGAAAACAAUUUGUGUUUUCACAGAAGCAAAGCCAAAAUGCAAAAGAAGCUUCUUCCUUGAUUUAGCUUUCUGAAGUUCUAGAGACAGAGGGAAAGGAAAGAUAUAUUAAAACCUAUUUGAAAUGUUCCUUCCACAGAAACAAAGAAGAAAUUUUCCUUUCCUGAGGAUUAAUUUCCCUCUCUGAAGUGCAACUGUAUUUAAAAUUUAUUUUUCUUUCUUGACCCAAGGUCUAAUUCCAAACAUGUCUAUUUAAAUAAGAAAGAAGGGUUUCCAUAACAGCCUAAGACAGCUAGCAGGAUUGAAUACAAAUCCAGGAAAUAUACCAAACUGAAAAAAUUACACAUGUGAAAUAUUAUUAUUUCUUUGAAACAACUAUGGGUUUGAUAUUGAAUGGGAAUGACUGCUGUUAAUCACUAGCCACACAGCCAAGCUAUUUGAUUUAUCACAGAAUUAUUAAAAACUGCAUGUCCUUCCAAAAAGAAGCUGUCACUUUGAUAAUAAAUGCUAUUUGAAUACCUGAGAAACAACAUACUUGUAUCAUAGGGAAAUACAAGAAAAUGAAAAAAAAAGAGGAAUUAUCCUGCACAACUGUGAAGCUUUCCUGAAGAUUAAAUAUUCCUUAAACUAUCUUAUGUUCAUAAAAGAUACCAGAUACUUCUGGGAAACUUAAGCAGUGAAACAACACACACCAAAUGCUUUCAGUUCCACUACAGCAGGCCUGUGAGCACGCUGCAUUUGCAGGCUGGGCACAUACUCAUUGGGAUGAUAUUCCACAUUCAGUGCUGCUUUUGGGCUUAAGUCAAUGAGACCAGGUAGAUGGGCACAGUUCCAAAAGAGUGACCCAAGCCUUAUUAAAGAUUGGUCCACACUUCAGAAAGCAGGGAUCUGAACAAUAGGUUUGCUACCUACAGUGCAAUUUAUCUUACCAAAACCCAUUAACUGAUGGAUUGAAAACUGGCACAUACUAUCUAUGUGUCAGUAAGUGAUCAAAGCUGGUUCUAAGGCAGGCCUUAUUAAUUUUUUAAAACAUGACAAAACGUAUUUCAAAUCUUAUUAUGAGCAACAGACAGAAGAGGGUAGUAGCUGCAAGCUAGCAACAGGUAGGCUACAGUAUAGUUUUAAAUGGAGAUAACCCACUGGCCUGAAACAAGCUGUGCAGCUGAAGAUCAAUUCUGGAACAUCUUAUGUACAUACAAGUCAGAGUUCCCUUCAACAUAAAGAAAUCUUAAUUAGAAAGCAGAGUAGGUGCCAAACAGGUGCUAAACACGUUAACCAGCAGACACACAUAGGGUUCUGCAGAUCUCACAGCCAAGGACCAACAGCAAUCAUUGAGUGGGGCAAUGCUGACACUGUGGUCAGACUGAAGGGUCUAUUCUAUGUUCUGCUUAGUGCCUAGGGGACAGUGUGCUCUCCCCUCCCACUUCUGCUCAAGCAAUAGCCAGCCACCAGUGGUGGUCAGUAGGACUGACUCUGAGAAGACAGAUAAGAUCACAAUAGUUAAGGGCCGUAAGUCUUGCUCAAAAGCUUAGGACCAGUUCCACACAAGAAAACCCAAAACACUGCCUGUGUGCAAAUAUGACUGUAAGUCAAUCAUCUUACUCUAAACAGUGGACAGCCCAGGGCCUGUUACUGUCUCUUGCAUGGCAGUAGGCUGUACCCCAGGAUCUCCACUUGACUAGUGAUGCCUCUUAAGGUUAACUUCUUGAGGCUGAGAGAUUCCUUGCUAGUGAAUUCUCACUAAAUGCUAAAUUGCACACAAAACCUUGAAAUCUUAGCUAAGUGAGAUACAGGAUUGACUGUGCACAUAAUCCUUUAGAUGUAAACUGCUAGCCAAGUCUGGGACUAAGUCUGGAUCCAGACACACCUAAAUUCCUCUCAAGGAGUUUAAGAAAUAAGGAGGUCCUUUUUGAGCCUCCCGACUCAGCAGAGGGUCUCCCUGACAGUUUUGUCUGACCCUGCCCUCUAUGCAGUAAACAAUUAAGUAUACCUUGCUAAUACCUUGAUUACAUCAUAUCUUGUUAAAUUAUUGUCACAUUUACUCAUAAAAUCAUAGAAUGUUUUGGAUUGGAAAAGGACCUUGAAUAUCAUCUAGUUGCAACAGCUUUCCCAUGGGCAGACACACCUUCAACUAGACCAGGCUGCUGUACCUGCAGAGCUGUGUGGGAGACAGGUUACACGUGCUGGGGUGCUGUGCCUGUGCGGUUGUGUAUGCUGGAGAUGGGUUACACCUGGUUCACAGCACUGACCUGAGUGCAGGAUACCUGGUGAGGAGGGAGAGGGGAUGGGUUUGGAAGCCAUGAGAACAGCCUUUAGAGCAUAUGAGGAGAACUAGGCAUCCUACAGUUACUGCUGCAUGUAGUGCUUCAUGAGGCACAGGGGUACUGUAAUCCAUAAGUACUGGAGGAGUCACACAUUGCAGCCACAUCAUGAUCAUUUCUGAUGUUCCUGGCACAGCCCUGCCUUCCAGUCCUUGUCUGUCCAAGUAUUUUGUACUGUAUGUGUGUGAGCUGACUGACAUGACUGAUCCUGCUAUCUGAAUGAUGCUUCAUUAUUCUCUUUGUCACAUUUUUAAUCAUUAAUUUUCAUUAUUCGCAAACCAACGCUUCAAAAAGGGUAGGGGAGCAAAAUCCCCAAACAUAUAUUUCCUUGUGAUUUGCUUUUCUAACUCAACUCUCCUUUAAACCAGAAGCUAUUAUGAAAGGAUACUGUCAAUUGCAGAAUGUGAUGUGUAACUCAGGUGGCCUGAGCUGAAGAAGUGUCUUCAUAAUACUCAACUGCUACUGCUGGAUUUUGUUGUCAGCUUUUUAAGGACUUGUUUUACUAUAUGGGUAUGAAUAGUUGUGCAAAAUACAAUUGAACUGUUAACUGCGUUUAGAGUGUUUCUAGAGGUUUCAAUAAUUCCAAUUUUAUUAGCAAUGAUAAUUUCAAUAAAUUUUAAUGAAAUGUUUAUUUAUUUUAUAAAACAGCACAUGAAAAAAAAUCUCAUUUCUAAGAAAAAAUUAUUUAAACACUUUUCUGAGUCUAAAGGCCUGAAGAGACAAGAGAUUUUUGAGAAUUUCUGAAUUUCUGUCUGAAUUUAAAUUAUUGAACUUCCUCAAAUUUUUCUGCUUUCACAUCACCUGUUACAGUCUGUAUCAGAUGGAUAGAGACCAUAAUUUGUAAGGAUACAGACCUUCUUCCUUCUUUCUCAUAAGACCCACUGAAGCUGGGAAAGAAGUAUAUAGUCCCAUCUCCUGACAAUUUGCGACAGUUAAUUCUAGCAUUGACCUUAUUUUCAGAGACUGCCUUGUAUUGUUAAAGCAUUUAAUAAAUAAACCUGCCAUUCCCAUGUCGUUGGUAUCUUUUACUUCCUACAUCAUCUGUGGGAAGAAAAUUAUUAGUCUAAUUCUCUACUGUAAGAUUUUACCUGAUACAGUAUUUUAGGUAAUGGAAAUAGGUGAAAUUCCAUAAAUUUGUGACAAUUUGGAGUUCACAGAUUGACUUAAGCUUGACCCACUUUUACAAAAACACUUCCUUGACAAGCAUUGAGUGAUGAACAAAAGUAUUUUUUCCUAAUUAACAACAUAAAAUAUAAGGUAAGAAACAACCUAGUGAAACCUCUAGGAAAAAUGUAAUUCCUAUUUUUAUUUCCUUCAACAGUCCUGCAAAAUUUCACCAUGGAGUUUCAACACCACCAAGUUUUCCCAGAGGCUGAAGAACAGACUGAAGAGCCCUGGCAUUGACCAUACAUAUACAACAUCCAAUUCUUAAUCUGUGGAAAAGCCUUCCUAUGGACUAUGAGGUGUGCACCCUGCUCCCACCCCCUGUUCAAGC